rnacentral:rRNA from 1 species
UCCGGUUGAUCCUGCCAGACCUGACUGCUAUCGGAUUGGUACUAAGCCAUGCGAGUCAUUGUAGCAAUACAAGGCGGACGGCUCAGUAACACGUAGUCAACCUAACUCGUGGACGUGGAUAACCUCGGGAAACUGAGAAUAAACCACGAUAGAUCAUAGUGCCUGGAAUGGCUUAUGGUCCAAACAGUUUACUGCCAUGGGAUGGGACUGCGGCCUAUCAGCUUGUUGGUGAGGUAAUGGCCCACCAAGGCGAUUACAGGUACGGGCUCUGAGAGGAGAAGCCCGGAGAUGGGUACUGAGACACGGACCCAGGCCCUAUGGGGCGCAGCAGGCGAGAAACCUUAGCAAUGUGCGAAAGCACGACUGGGUCAGUCCGAGUGAUUCCUGAUAAAGGAGUCUUUUGCUUGUCCUAAAAGCACAGGUGAAUAAGGGGUGGGCAAGUCUGGUGUCAGCCGCCGCGGUAAUACCAGCACCUCGAGUGGUCAGGACGUUUAUUGGGCCUAAAGCAUCCGUAGCCGGCUUUGCAAGUCUUCGGUUAAAUCCACCUGCUCAACAGAUGGGCCGCUGGAGAUACUACAAAGCUAGGGAGUGGGAGAGGCAGACGGUAUUCAGUGGGUAGGGGUAAAAUCCUCUGAUCCAUUGAGGACCACCAGUGGCGAAGGCGGUCUGCCAGAACACGUUCGACGGUGAGGGAUGAAAGCUGGGGGAGCAAACCGGAUUAGAUACCCGGGUAGUCCCAGCUGUAAACGAUGCAAACUCGGUGAUGCAUUGGCUUAUGGCCAAUGCAGUGCCGCAGGGAAGCCGUUAAGUUUGCCGCCUGGGAAGUACGGACGCAAGUCUGAAACUUAAAGGAAUUGGCGGGGGAGCACCACAAGGGGUGAAGCCUGCGGUUCAAUUGGACUCAACGCCGGG